GUGUGGGAGUCCUGCCUAUUGGGAGCC
rnacentral:piRNA from 1 species